rfam:Ixodes scapularis strain Wikel colony gcontig_1108378666376, whole genome shotgun sequence.
CCCUGGUUAGCUCAUUUGGUAGAGCGCUCUAUUAGAAAUGAAGAGGUCCCGGGUUCGAUACCCGGACCUGGAG